UCCACAAGUUUUUGAGAACCAAUUUUCCCUUGAGAUGCGAUUGGAGUUAACUGGAUAUAAAAUCUGCUUUCCUAACCCACACUUGUUUUACAAAUGGUGCAAUGUGUUUGUGGGUGUACUUCUCACGCCUUUGAUCUUUAUAAAAGUAAAAACACUCA